GACGAACGCUGGCGGCGUGCUUAACACAUGCAAGUCGAACGGAAAGGCCCUGCUUUUGUGGGGUGCUCGAGUGGCGAACGGGUGAGUAACACGUGAGUAACCUGCCCUUGACUUUGGGAUAACUUCAGGAAACUGGGGCUAAUACCGGAUAGGAGCUCCUGCUGCAUGGUGGGGGUUGGAAAGUUUCGGCGGUUGGGGAUGGACUCGCGGCUUAUCAGCUUGUUGGUGGGGUAGUGGCUUACCAAGGCUUUGACGGGUAGCCGGCCUGAGAGGGUGACCGGCCACAUUGGGACUGGGAUACGGCCCAGACUCCUACGGGAGGCAGCAGUGGGGAAUAGUGCACAAUGGGCGGAAGCCUGAUGCGGCAACGCCGCGUGCGGGAUGACGGCCUGCGGGUUGUAAACCGCUUUCGCCUGUGACGAAGCGUGAGUGACGGUAAUGGGUAAAGAAGCACCGGCUAACUACGUG
rnacentral:rRNA from 1 species